ensembl:snRNA U2 U2 spliceosomal RNA
AUCGCUUCUCGGCCUUUUGGCUAAGAUCAAGUGAAGUAUUGGAUAUUAAUUUUGGACUGCAGGUUAAUAGAGCUAUAUCUUUUAAGCAGUAAUAACUAUUUUAAAGCUUCUCCUUUUUGAAUAUGGAAAAAUACAU